rnacentral:tRNA from 1 species
ACCACAUUAGCUCAGACGGUAAAAGCAUUUGCCUACAAUGCGGGAGACCCAGGUUCGAUCCCUGGAUCAGGAA